AUUAUCGUAUCAUGAAUAGCCAUGGUUAUCUUAAUAAUUAACCAUGUUCUGAAAUACU
rnacentral:snoRNA from 1 species